rnacentral:tRNA from 2 species
GGCUCUAUCUUCUAAUGGUUAGGAAUCUUGGUUCUCAACCAAGCAACCGGGGUUCGACUCCCCGUAGAGCCG